CACCUCUCAGAGAUAAAGAGUUCAUGAGAAGCUCAUUCCCUGUUGGUACUGAUGUUAAGCCCCGCCCACACGAGGGACUCCACAGAUGUGGCGAGUGCAGAAGAAAACCCUCAGCUGGGUAAAACUGUUUCUGUGGGAACACUGUAGACAAACAAGCUUUUGCUUCAUAUGGUGCAGGAGGGAGGUACUUACCGGGUGCCCAAAUUCCUCUUUUCAAAGGAGCUGAAGGGGGAGGAAAAGUACAAAUACCUCCACAGGAAACAGGAAGUUCAGUUGCUCUGCUCCAUCGGACCAAGUAGAAGGCCACACUCAAGGCUUUUGGAACAAGCCGGCUUGUUGGUGUGGUUUAAGGGUCAAUGACCUUGCAGACCUGAAGGGAUGAGGACCAUGUGUUUCCGUUGCCUUGCAUGGUAUUUACAUGUUUUAUAUUGGGUUAUUUCAUGUUUUCAUUUGCGGGUGGGGCCCAAAGCAAUGCACUAGAAGUUAGUAUUGUAUGUAUUUCAUUCUUUAAUAUGUAUAACUGUGUGUUUCUU